rnacentral:rRNA from 1 species
CCUACGGGAGGCAGCAGUGAGGAAUAUUGGUCAAUGGGCGCGAGCCUGAACCAGCCAAGUAGCGUGAAGGAUGAAUGCCCUACGGGUUGUACACUUCUUUUAUAAAGGAAUAAAGUGAGGCACGUGUGCCUUUUUGUAUGUACUUUAUGAAUAAGGAUCGGCUAACUCCGUGCCAGCAGCCGCGGUAAUACGGAGGAUCCGAGCGUUAGCCGGAUUUAUUGGGUUUAAAGGGAGCGUAGAUGGGUUGUAAAGUCAGGUGUGAAAGUUUGCGGCGCAACCGUAAAAUUGCAAUUGAUACUGGCAGUCUUGAGUACAGUUGAGGUAGGCGGAAUUCGUGGUGUAGCGGUGAAAUGCUUAGAUAUCACGAAGAACUCCGAUUGCGAAGGCAGCUUACUAAACUGCCACUGACAUUGAUGCUCGAAAGUGUGGGUAUCAAACAGGAUUAGAUACCCCAGUAGUC